rnacentral:lncRNA from 1 species
GGGGCCGACUGGGGAAGGGGCCGGGAAGAGCUGAGGGCGCACUAGGCGCCGCGCAGAGGCGCCUUUGAGUCGGCAGCCGCGGAGCCAGCGCACGGGCAUCGGCGGGACCCGGCGGACGGAAAGGCGGAGUGGGGGUCUUUGGACUGCACGACUAUAAUUUCAUGUGUGUGAAAUUCAAGGGGAAAAAGGAAACAAUACAUAAUCCAGCAUCACCAGUGUCACACUUCAGGACCUGAUGAAAUGUUUUAUCUUCUGAAAAGCUUUCCUGGCUCAGAUGAGGUGACUCAUGUCAGCCUACACAAAGGCUUCUUCAUAUACUAGAAUUUCUACUAUAAUUUUUCAGCCUUUCCACAAAACAAGUCUUACCAUAAUCCAGCAACAGAGCAAAAGAGAAGUCAAUGAUGAGAAGCUUGAUAAUGUAAAGGUUUAGUUCUAAGUUUCUGUAGGUCAAGAAUUUGGGAGCAGCUUAGCUGGAUGGUUCUCGCUCAAGGUGACUCAGGAAAUUCAGUCAAAAUGUUGGCCAGGACUACAGUCAUAGGAAGAUCUGACUGGAGCCAGGCAAUUUGCUUCCAACACAGCUCACAUACAUGAAUGGCAAGUU